rnacentral:lncRNA from 1 species
AGAGAUUAGGUUCCUAUUUGAACUAAAAAUCCUUCUCUAAUUAGAUGCAACUAAACCUUAACCAAAUGAGAUUUGAUUAAGAUUUGACUAAGGUAUAAGACAUCUCCGCACCCCAUAGUAGUGCCCUCUCUCUCUAGGAUUGGGAUGAGAUCAAUUUCAAAGGAGUUUGAAUUGAUCUAAAAUGCUUAUGUGAUAAGAUUAACCC